UUUAAACCCAGGCUGUUGGGAGGCAUAACUCGCAGCUCUCCUGGAAGUGAAUCACGAGCUUUCCUGGGUGGAGGUAGCUGGAAGAGGCACCGAACCCCACCGAUAAGACCACAGGGCAGGGCAGGGGCACCAGAAAAGACCCUCCCCGCUCUCUUGGAUGUAAGGCCGGGCCAGGUUUUGGUUGAAGGUCACAUUGCUCCUGGGUCAGAGAACUAUAACAUCAAAGCGCCUUUAUGACUGGAAACUGUGGACACUCAAGUCCUAAGGCAGUGGUUCUCAGUGUGGUCCCUGGGCCAGCAGUGUCUGCAACAUCUGUUAAUUCAUUAGAAAUGCACAUUCUUACAUCCCACUCCAGACUUACUAAAUCAAACAUUCUGGGGGUGGGGCCCAAUCUGUUUUAACAAGCCCUCCAGGGGAUUCCGUUGCUCACUAAAGUUUGAGAACUACUGUCGCUAGCUGAUAGCAGAGCCACAAGAGAGAACUCUGAGUUCCUGAAUCACCACAUAGAAGACAGCCAUAUACCACCCAGAAAGAUCUGCAUCAGACUUUUCUAUAAAAUAGAAAUAAAAUUUGGUUGUGUUAAGACCCUGAAAUUUGAGGGUUUAUUUUUUGCAGCAGGCAAGAUUAAUACAGGCUGGAAGUCCAAACCUAUCCCAAACACAAUCGCAAUAUGGGGGGAGUGCUGAAUAUCACUGGACUCCUGACACUUAACAGGGGGUACAGAAGUGUCUUAAUAUAGCUACAGUUAGUGGUGGCAACAGUGGGAAUCGAAGAUCAGAAUGUAGAGGCCACAAUGGUGGAUCAUGCUGCUCAAACUAGCAGGCCUCAAGCAUCACCAGGAAGAGUAAGAGACAUGGCUAAUGCUGAAUGUAUGUAUCUCCCUGGGAUCCUCUGCCAGUCUCACACGAAUAAUUUUCACAGGAAACAAGACAGACGCCAAGGACCAUCUGCCAAUUGUCAGCUGACUAUCCAGCGAUAUAACCACCACCACUGGCAGACCAGGACAAGGUCCAGGAAUUUUCCAGUGCCCAUGAAUCUACCAACACCUGGGUCUGUAACAGCUACUAUCAUGCUACGGGCCUCACUAGAUUAGCUUCAGAAACACCUGCAAGAAUGCAGGGCCCGGUAGGCAGAAUUUUUAGAUGACCCCCAGCUCCCAGUGACUCUUGCCUUUGUAUAAUCCCCUCUCCUCUGAGAACCUCUGAAUAUGAUGAAAUAUCACUCCCAUAAUCAUGUUACAUUAUAUGGCAAAAGUGAGAUCAUCGUGGGUGGGCUUGACCUUAUUAUGUGAGCCCUGUAAAAGCCGAGAGUUUUCUCUGGCUACUGGCAGAAGAGGAAGGCAGAGUGACAUGCUCCAGGAGGCCUAGAAGAAAGCAAGCAACCCUGUGGGCUGCCUAUGGGGGCCACAUGACAAGGAACUACGAGUGGCUUCUGGAAGCUGAAAGCAGUCCCCAGCCAAUAGCUUUCCAGAAAAUGGAGCCCCAGCCCUACAACUCCAAGGAACUGAAUUCUGCCAACAACCAGUGAGCUUGGAAGAGGGUCCCAAGCCUCAGAUGAGAACCACAGCCCCAACAAACACCUUGAUGUCGGCCCAAUGAGACCUUGAGCAGAAAAUCCAGUGACAUCAUGCCAGGACUUCAGAUCUACAUAACUGUGAGAUAAUAAAUUGGAGGUGUUUUAAGCAUCUAAGUUGGUGGCAAUUUGUUAAGCAGCAAUGGAAAAUUAAUACACAGGAUACCGCACACAGCCAUGUGAAGACACAGCAAGAAGGCAGCUGUCUACAAGCCAGGGAGAGAGGCCUCACCCUAAACCACCCCUGCCAGCAUUUUCAUCUUGGACUUCAAGCCUCCAGAACUGUGAGAGAAU
rnacentral:lncRNA from 10 species